UCCCUCCCCAGGAUUGAAUGGAAGCUCUGUACUGUACCGACUUCUGGAUUUGCCCUGGAUUGAGUUUAGGGAAUGUCUGGAAAGGAAAAAGGGAGAGAAAAGGGGGGAGGGAGGGGGCCAGCUCGAGCCUUGUCCAAGUCAGCGAGAAGGCUGCGCUGGGCAGGAAAGCGCCUAUGGGAGAAUCAGCUAGGAUGCAGACCGGCUAUGGAAAUCUCAGUUCUAGGAACCGUGUCCUUUCGCCGGAGACCUCUCUGAGCACAGGAACUAUGGUGAGAUUGUCCCUUGGCCUCCUGCUUCCAGUGGAUUUGGGAAUUAACUGAUAUUUGUCAACCACCUGCUGAGAGGCAGGGAGGUAGCACAAAGGGCUUGUGCACAUGCUUUGCCUGUGAGAGGCUCAGGUGCAAUCCCUGCGACCACGUGAUCGACUGAGAUACCCAGGGAGUGACCCCACACACUGACCUGUUUAGGAUGGCUGCAAACCCCAUCAUUGGAUGGGCUACUAAAACAGAUGCUGAAUCUAUUAUCGAUACACAAAGAAAAUGAUCAGGGAGAAACAGAAGUGAGUCUCAGUUUGUAAUAUUCACAAAAAAAAAACUAUGGAGUUAAUUUUCAAUUUGCACAUGUUAUUGCUCUGGGACCAAGGUAUAUCCAACACAACCAGAUAUAACAAUUAUACUGCAGUUUAUUAAAACUACUUCAUAGAAACUUUAUUGUAUAGGUGAGGGAAAUGAAUAACUGACUAAAUAUAUUUUCUUCAAAAGCAUCAUGCCAAUACAGAUACUUAAGGCACAGAGUUCUUAUAAUUCAUUGAUCUUAUGUUUGCCUAUGCCACGUUUUUCAGGAGGAAAUUCAAAGUUGCCAAGAAAUGCACCUUCUUAGGUGUAUAAGUUCAGCAUGAAUCAAAAAUUCAGCUUUCCUAGGUAGUGCCUCUCUGAUACAUCCAUGCUCCGAUCCAUCUGUCAGAGGGACUUUAUGAUUCUCCAUAAGAUGUUACCCAGUGGGGCCAGAGUCAUGGUAAAGGGAGUAGGACAUUUGUCUUGCCUGUGGCUGACCUGGGUUCGAUCCCUUAUGGUCCACUAAGCACAGUGAGGAGUAAUUCCUGAGCGCAGAACCAGGAGUAACCCCUGAGCAUCACUGGGUGAUGCAUAUGCUUCAGCCUAGAGAGUUAGC